rnacentral:pre_miRNA from 1 species
UCAACCCAUUUAACCUUCUAACCCAUCAAAUUAAAUGAGUUCAUGGGUUGACUCAACCCAUGGGUUGACUCAACCCAUGAAUUCAUUUAACUCUAAACUCAUCGGAUAAUGAGU